GCACCAGUGGUUUAGUGGUAAAAUCCAUCGUUGCCAUAAGUUGUAUCGAUGGGCCCCGUGUUCGAUUCACGGCUGGUGCA
rnacentral:tRNA from 2 species